rnacentral:ncRNA from 2 species
UAACUUUGCACUCGCAACGGUUCGCAACGCUCCCAAUCAGAACACCCUGCCGGGGAGUUGUGCGAUUAAAAGGGAAUGGGGUGAGAGUCCCCAACUGUCCCGCAGCUGUGAGCCACCCUUAUAUCGGGCGCGAACGAAAGAGCCACUGAAGCUAUGCAUCUCCUUGCAGGAUGCGUGGGUAUGGCAAGAAUGCCAUACCCUCCUAUGCUUUGGGAAGGUGUUCGCGUCUGGGCGGCGAGUCAGAAGACCUGCCGAAACUAUUUGCCGAUG